UUGACGUUGAUUCGGGGAAAUGCGAUUCUCAGUCUGCUAGAACUUCGAGAAGGGCUUCCACGACUUGGUCGUUUGGGGGCCUUUUUCUUUUGCU
rnacentral:antisense_RNA from 1 species